rnacentral:rRNA from 1 species
AUUAACGCUAGCGGCGGGCAUAAUACAUGCAAGUUGAACGGCAGCACAGGUAGCAAUACCGGGGUGGCGAGUGGCGCACGGGUGCGUAACACGUAUGCAACCUACCCUAUACAGGCGAAUAACCUUUAGAAAUGAGGGCUAAUACGCCGUGGUAUUAUCUUGGGGCAUCUUGAGAUAAUUAAAGAUUUAUCGGUAUAGGAUGGGCAUGCGUCCCAUUAGUUAGUUGGUAGGGUAACGGCCUACCAAGGCUAUGAUGGGUAGGGG